rnacentral:rRNA from 1 species
GACUCUCGACAACGGAUAUCUAGGCUCUCGCAUCGAUGAAGAACGUAGCGAAAUGCGAUACUUGGUGUGAAUUGCAGAAUCCCGUGAACCAUCGAGUCUUUGAACGCAAGUUGCGCCCGAAGCCUUUAGGUGGAAGGCAUGCCUGCUUGGGCGUCAU